rnacentral:tRNA from 1 species
GCCUCCUUAGCUCAGCGGCCAGAGCAUCCGCCUUGUAAGCGGAGGGUCGAGGGUUCGACUCCCUCAGGGGGCUCCA